rnacentral:rRNA from 2 species
UUUGCCUUUUAAUUAGAGGCUUGUAUGAACGGACACACGUAAGCUAAGCUGUCUCAUUAAUAACUAUAAAAAUUAACCUCUAGGUGAAGAGACCUAGAUUCCGUAAAAAGACGAAAAGACCCUAUGGAGCUUUACUUAUAUUAAAAACUUAAUAACUAUAAAAAAAAAUUUUUUUUAAAAAAGUUUAGUUGGGGCGACUAAGGAGCACAAAAAACCCUCCUCUUGAUAAAAGAAAAUAAUUCUUCUAUAGAUCCGCUAAAGCGAAUAAAAAAUCAGCUACCCUAGGGAUAACAGGCUAAUCCUCCUUGAGAGCCCAAAUUGACAGGAGGGGUUGGCACCUCGAUGUUGGCUUAAGGUUUCUCCAAAGUGCAGCAGCUUUGAAAGUAGGUUUGUUCACCCUUUAAAACCU